rnacentral:rRNA from 1 species
GACGAACGCUGGCGGCGUGCUUAACACAUGCAAGUCGAACGAAGUGGCGAACGGGUGAGUAACGCGUAAUCAACCUGCCCUUCAGAGGGGGACAACAGUUGGAAACGACUGCUAAUACCGCAUACUGAAGGAGGGGAUUGCGUCUGAUUAGCUAGUUGGAGGGGUAACGGCCCACCAAGGCGGUGAUCAGUAGCCGGGCUGAGAGGGUGAACGGCCAAAUUGGGACUGAGACACGGCCCAGGCUCCUACGGGAGGCAGCAGUGGGGAAUCAUCCGAAAUGGACGGAAGUCUGACGGAGCAACGCCGCGUGAGUGAUGAUGGCCUUCGGGGUGUAAAGCUCUGUUAAUCGGGACGCGGUACCGGAAUAGAAAGCCACGGCUAACUACGUGCCAGCAGCCGCGGUAAUUC